rnacentral:rRNA from 1 species
AUUGAACGCUGGCGGCAGGCCUAACACAUGCAAGUCGAACGAGUGGCGGACGGGUGAGUAAUGUCUGGGGAACUGCCCGAUAGAGGGGGAUAACUACUGGAAACGGUAGCUAAUACCGCAUACUAUCGGAUGUGCCCAGAUGGGAUUAGCUUGUAGGUGAGGUAACGGCUCACCAAGGCGACGAUCCGUAGCUGGUCUGAGAGGAGGACCAGCCAAACUGGGACUGAGACACGGUCCAGACUCCUACGGGAGGCAGCAGUGGGGAAUUUUGGACAAUGGGGGAAAGCCUGAUGCAGCCAUGCCGCGUGUAUGAUGAAGGCCUUCGGGUUGUAAAGUACUUUUAGCGGGGAGGCGUUAUCUGCAGAAGAAGCACCGGCUAACUCCGUGCCAGCAGCCGCGGUAAUUC